AGAUUGAACGCUGGCGGCAGGCCUAACACAUGCAAGUCGAGCGGUAGAGAGGUGCUUGCACCUCUUGAGAGCGGCGGACGGGUGAGUAAUGCCUAGGAAUCUGCCUAGUGGUGGGGGAUAACGUUCGGAAACGGACGCUAAUACCGCAUACGUCCUACGGGAGAAAGCGGGGGACCUUCGGGCCUCGCGCCAUUAGAUGAGCCUAGGUCGGAUUAGCUAGUUGGUGAGGUAAUGGCUCACCAAGGCGACGAUCCGUAACUGGUCUGAGAGGAUGAUCAGUCACACUGGAACUGAGACACGGUCCAAGACUCCUACGGGAGCAGCAGUGGGAAUGUGGACAAGUGGGCAAAGCCUG
rnacentral:rRNA from 1 species